GGCUGUGAGAGCAAUCUGGCUGUGACAACUGUCACCCCACUGAUUGCUAGGGUUGAUGCAGCUGAUCUGGCUGGCUAGGUGGGUUCAUCCUUUCUCUCUCUCUCUGCUCCAUGUGUGUCCCUUGUGAAGCUGUGUGCUCAGUAAGUCCAAGAGGAUGACCUUCCCUGAUAGAAAAGGACCAUUCUUUGGUCAAGGGAAAAGGAGUAGAAUAGCUUCAUUCCCAUGCCAGAACCUCCAAAUGAGCUCUCAGAUCGUUCCAAGCAAAAAAAAAAAAAAAAAAAAAAAAAAAAAAAAAAAAAGGCUACUGUGAUUAACUGAAGCUUAAUUU
rnacentral:snRNA from 1 species